rnacentral:rRNA from 1 species
AUUGAACGCUGGCGGCAGGCCUAACACAUGCAAGUCGAACGGCUGCACAGUACUUGCUCCUGCUUUCAGCUGGCGACGGGCGAAUGGUUCCUAAGAACAUCCCUGGUUACUUGGUCUUGGGUCCUAACGCAGGGACUCAUACCCCAUUACCCCAUACGACCAACGGGUGGGAUCUUCGGACCUUACGCUCUCGCACGAUCCUAUGUGGCGAUGUCGGAUUAGCUAGUUGGCGGGGUAAAGGCCCACCAAGGCGACGAUCCGUAGCUGGUCUGAGAGGAUGAUCAGCCACACUGGAACUGAGACACGGUCCAGACUCCUACGGGAGGCAGCAGUGGGGAAUAUUGGACAAUGGGCGAAAGCCUGAUCCAGCCAUGCCGCGUGGGUGAAGAAGGUCUUCGGGUUGUAAAGCCCUUUUAUUUGGGAAGAAAAGCAGUAAGUUAAUACCUUGCUGUUUUGACGGUACCAACAGAAUAAGCACCGGCUAACUUCGUG